GCAGACCUCUGCUGAGAAGACAAGCAAUACUGCAGAGCUCUGCAACAAGAUUUGAGAGCUUGAGAUGUGACCUCUGGCAUCACCUGGAAAUGGGCGCUUGCAGUCUGAAAAGCCAAGUACAUCUUGGAAUGCAUCAAAAGAUAUGUAGCCAGCAGGUUGAGGGAGGUUGAUUCUCGUCCUCUGCUCUGCUCCUGUGAGACCCCUCCUGGAGUACUGCAUCCAACUAUGGGAUCCUCAAUGUGAGGACAUGGAUCUGCUGGAGCACAUCCAGAGGAGGGCCACAAAGAUGCUCAAAGAGCUGGACUAUCCCUGUUAUGCAGACAGGCUGAGAUUUGGGAUUGUACAGCCUAGAGAAGAUUCUAAGGAGACUAUAGCAGCUUUCCAGUACCUAAAACAUAGCUUAUAAUAAAGCUGCAGAGGGACUUUUCAGAAGGACAUGUAAAGGUACGACAACAGGGAAUGGUUUUCAGUUGAAAGAGGAUAUAUUUAGGCUAGAGAUGAGAGUAGUAAAACAGUGGAACAACUUGCCCAUCAAAGCUGUGAUCUGGAAUCAUCCACAUCUGUUCCAGGGAUGAUCCCUGGAAGUGUUCAAGGCUGGGUUGGAUGAGUCUCUGAGAAACUUGGUCUUUAGAAGGUCUCACCACCUCUGGCAGAGUGCUUGGAACUAGAUGAUCAUUAAGAUCUCUCCCAGCCCAAACUACUCUAUGAUCUUAUGAUUCUAUAAUAAAUGUUAAAGAAGAACUGGUCUAUUUUUUUCAUAGUUAAGUAAUCUGUCAUUCUUAUUGAAUACUGCUGGGGCAGCAGUAUCGGUAAAAACCUAAAAAACAGGAACAGCAAUAGCAUUUUCAGUAUUGUGUUAUGCAAUUCUGUUCUGAAACUUCAAUUAAUGUACCAUGAGAAUAAAAUGUAUGUGAAGUGUUUACACCUCCAGUGGUUCUUCCCUUGAGCAGCUGCACAGCAGAAUUAUAAGCCACACAGAGACAAGUUAUAGGAUUCAUGACAGACAGAGAGGGAAUUGUCUUGUCAGUCUCACAAGUGUGAGGAUUGCAAACGGAAUCUCAUCAACUGUAAUUUCUAUUCCACUUUGUACAUCAAAUGCCUCAACUAAAAUUCCACAUUCUACUGUGACUGAAUGAACUUGCUCCUUUUGGACAGCUGCAUUCCCUGAGCCUCCCAGUACCCUGAAAAAAUAACAAAACUGUCCAUAAGAAUUAGAAGUGAAAGAUGAGAUAAAUAGCAAGAAUUUGGUGGUCAUUAGUACCGUGGUUUUGCCUAUCAGACUGCAAACAAAGAAAGAUAGGUUUCUUCAGCAUCUUUUCAUCAUGACCAUUGUACUCUUUGGUGAAAUGGUGGGAAACACUUGAUAUUACAAUAAAUUUAAUUGCAAGCAAAUAUCAAAAAGAAAA